rnacentral:rRNA from 1 species
AUUGAACGCUGGCGGCAGGCCUAACCCAUGCAAGUCGAGCGGAGCGACGGACGGGUGAGUAAUGCAUGGGAAUCUGCCUGGUAGUGGGGGAUAACGUCCGGAAACGGGCGCUAAUACCGCAUAGUCUCAGAUGAGACUAGGUCGGAUUAGCUAGCUGGUGGGGUAAAGGCCUACCAAGGCGACGAUCCGUCACUGGUCUGAGAGGAUGAUCAGUCACACGGGAACUGAGACACGGUCCAGACUCCUACGGGAGGCAGCAGUGGGGAAUAUUGGACAAGGGGCGAAAGCCUGAUCCAGCCAUGCCGCGUGUGUGAAGAAGGUCUUCGGAUUGUAAAGCACUUUAAGUUGGGAGGCGUUACCAACAGAAUAAGCACCGGCUAACUUCGUGCCAGCAGCCGCGGUAAUUC